AACGAACGCUGGCGGCAGGCCUAACACACGCAAGUCGAACGCUCCAGCAAUGGAGAGUGGCAGACGGGUGAGUAACGCGUGGGAACCUUCCCUAUGGUUCGGAAUAGCCCAGGGAAACUUGGGGUAAUACCGGAUAAGCCCUUCGGGGGAAAGAUUUAUCGCCAUUGGAUGGGCCCGCGUCGGAUUAGCUAGUUGGUGGGGUAGCGGCUCACCAAGGCGACGAUCCGUAGCUGGUCUGAGAGGAUGAUCAGCCACACUGGGACUGAGACACGGCCCAGACUCCUACGGGAGGCAGCAGUGGGGAAUAUUGGACAAUGGGCGCAAGCCUGAUCCAGCCAUGCCGCGUGAGUGACGAAGGCCUUAGGGUUGUAAAGCUCUUUUGGCGGGGAAGAUAAUGACGGUACCCGCAGAAUAAGCUCCGGCUAACUUCGUGCCAGCCGCCGCCGUAACAC
rnacentral:rRNA from 1 species